rnacentral:rRNA from 1 species
GACAGAGGGUGCAACCGUUGUUCGGAAUUACUGGGCGUAAAGCGCGUGUAGGCUGCUCAGAAAGUCGGAUGUGAAAGCCCUGGGCUUAACCUAGGAAGUGCAUUCGAAACUUCUGAGCUUGAGUUCUGGAGAGGAAGGCGGAAUUCUCGGUGUAGAGGUGAAAUUCGUAGAUAUCGAGAGGAACACCGGUGACGAAGGCGGCCUUCUGGACAGUGACUGACGCUGAGACGCGAAAGCGUGGGGAGCAAACAGG